AAGAUAAGGUACAAACACCUAAGUUUUCUGUAACCAGCCUUGCACAUUACACCUAACUUAAUUCCCUCACCCCGAGAAUAAAAAAAGCCUCCUCCUUCCCCCUCUUUACACAUCAAGCUAGCAAGAGAGAUCAUCAUAAACUUCAAAGAUGAUGAAACGAUCUCUCUUUUCAUUCUCUCUUUUUCUCUUCUUUCUCCAUUUGACCAAAACUCUAGCCCUGUCACCAGCUGCACCUACUUCAUCUCUUGGCCCUGCCAACAUCAUGAAAAUCCUUGAAAAGGCAGCCAAUUUCACAACGUUUAUCCGCCUUAUAAAAGCCACCCAUGUGGAUAUCCAAUUAUCCUCUCAGCUUAAAAGCUCAGGUGACGGCAUAACCAUCCUUGUUCCAAGUGAUAGUGCCUUUUCGAUCCUCAGAGCUGACACUUUAAACUCCCUAGCAGAUAAAGAAAAGGUCGAGCUGGUGCAGUUUCAUGUCCUAACACAAUUUCUGCUAUUAUCCCAGUUUGACACUGUGAGUAACCCUGUAAUGACACUGGCAGGAUCAAGUGGCAGGUUACUACUUAACAUAACAGUCACAGGGAAUGUAGUGAAUAUAACUACAGGAAUUGACUAUGCAACCAUUUCUGACACUAUUUACACAGAUAACCAGGUUGCCAUUUAUCAGAUUGACAAGAUGCUACUUCCUUUCGACCUUUUUGCUCCAGGGCCAGUACCAGCAAAGCCGGCGGAGAGUCCUGAAAAUGAUGUUCCUAAGGAUGCUUCUAGUUCAACGAGUUUGGUUUUGAAUUAUAUUGUGGUGCUCUUUGAACUUUGCAGAGUUGCUGAAAUAGUCCUGUUGUGAAAUUGAAGCUGAAGAGAGUUUCAAAUCUAUAUAUUGGAGUUGGUUAAUUUCUUUGCUGAAUUGGAUUGAAGAAUGGUGAUCAUCAACAGUGUCUUGAAUAAUUGACAAGUUUUAUCAGUUCUUUUUGUAAUUAAUAAAGAAUUCUGAAC
rnacentral:misc_RNA from 1 species